CUUUGUUUGGAGAGGUGAGUUUCAGCACCAAAAACACCUCAUAUUCCGACGUGGUAUCUAUUACAUUACAUUCAUACUCAUCAUCAUAGGGCAGGUUAUCAUAUUCUGAUGUAGCAUCAAUUACAUUCAUACUCAUCAUUAUUCAUGAUAAUUUGUAAUUAUAGCAACAUCAGAAUUAAUUUUAAAAUGCAUAGAGACGUGCUCACUUACACAACAACAUGUUUCAUUACACAUAAGUCACCAAGUUGAUCAGGAGAAACAGCAGGAGGUAGAGUGGGAGGUGCUGGGAGUAGGAGAGGGACUCCAUGGUGUUGAUCAGGAGAAACAGCAGGAUGUAGAGUGGGAGGUGCUGGGAGUAGGAGAGGGACUCCAUGGUGUUGAUCAGGAGAAACAGCAGGAGGUAGAGUGGGGAGGUGCAGGGAGUAGGAGAGGGACUCCAUGGUGUUGAUCAGGAGAAACAGCAGGAGGUAGAGUGGGGAGGUGCAGGGAGUAGGAGAGGGACUCCAUGGUGUUGAUCAGGAAGAAACAGCAGGAUGUAGAGUGGGAGGUGCUGGGAGUAGGAGAGGGACUCCAUGGUGUUGAUCAGGAAGAAACAGCAGGAUGUAGAGUGGGGAGGUGCUGGGAGUAGGAGAGGGACUCCAUGGUGUUGAUCAGGAAGAAACAGCAGGAGGUAGAGUGGGAGGUGCUGGGAGUAGGAGAUGGACUCCAUGGUGUUGAUCAGGAAGAAACAGCAGGAGGUAGAGUAGGGAGCUGCUGGGAGUAGGAGAUGGACUCCAUGGUGUUGAAGAGGGGAGAGGUGCUGGGAGUAGGAGAGGAACUCCAUGGUGUUGAUCAGGAAGAAACAGCAGGAGGUAG